ACCAGGGACAGAAAAUGGAGGGAGGUAGUGAUGGCAAAAUGAAGCUUUGAAUGAAGCAUCGAACCACUUGGACAAUUGUGUCGGAAAUAGGUUCAUUUAUCGAAGCUUCAAGUU